GUCGCUGCCAAAUCAGCGACCCGGUUUAGUAGCCUGAAUAUCACACGGCGCAAUGCGCCACCUCCGCGAGGCGCUUUUUUU
rnacentral:sRNA from 1 species